GCACUGGUGUCCAUAAUGGAUGUUAUCGAAUGUCGAAAAGUUGGCAUAGAGGACUAUCACGAUGUUAUGAGUAUCCGAGACGUAUACGAUGGACUAGACUACCUGCCCGCCCUCUAUAGGACAUUUAUGGCCGAUCACACUGGAUAUGCUGUUAUUGUCAAUAAAACAAUGGUAGCGUUCCAAUGUGUUACUUUCAUUGAUGACGGAGAAACGUUAAUACCGAGAGCACUUCGCAUGCGCAAAGGAUAUGAAGGCAGAGAAUUGGUCUAUCGUCUGAGAGACUUCAUCCUGCAGGACAUCGCAGGAAAACCGAGACUCAAACGUAAGGGUGUACACGACCGGAAAUGAGGCUUUUCUACGGAAGAUACUAGAAGAGAGGAGAGGUGAACUCAUAGUAGAGAGGGAUAUCUUGUUCUACCCAGGAGGGGUGCCUUAUCGGCUGCUGGCUUCAAAUGUGGAUCAUUUCUUCAACGACUUUUGUCACAUAUUGGGCAGCGAGUGCAAAGAUGGAGGCUCCGGCAGCUUCGAAUGCAUUACACUGGCUGUUGGCUACAUCGUGCCUAACGGAAUUCGGUACAAUGUAGAAAUAUAUGGUAACUUCACAGAGGAGACUUUAUCACUUCAUAUGGCAUAGCAUCUCAGAAAGUGUUCAACGUUAGAAAACGAGGACACUAAUCUUUUGAUACAUUAUGAGUCAAGGUCACACAAUGCAAGUAUGAUCACAAAACUAUGCAACAGUUUAGAAUGAGCGAGUCUAAUACAUUCCAUUCAAGCACGAUGUAUGGAAUUGAAGCACCGUUAUCGAAGUAUUGAUCUACCAACACUGAUGACAUAUAUGCAAUAACAAUGGAACUUUACUCUUAACUAAGUUCCCUGGAGCCCGGAGGUCGCAUGGAGCUUUUUCUUUCAGAAUAAGAAAAUACGAAAUGCAUUCUGGGAAAUAUUGAAACGAGUAGCUUUAUGCGUCUUUUGUACUUUGUAUUAAUGAAAAUGACUUCUACGGGGUUCUGACGAAGUUUCCUUGUCAGGAUUACGAUUUUUUUGUGUGUUUUUGUACUUUGUAUUAUUGAAAUUGGCUGACAGGGCUCUGACGAAGUUUUCUCUUCUGUCAGAUACAAGUGACUCGAGUGACUUUGUCUUUUUUGUACAAUCUUUAGACGCCUUUCAUUUCAUCUUUUAUUGGCAUAUUCAUUCGGACGUGAUCUAUUUGUGAUUCUCCGACACUUAGAUAGUAAGUUACAGGUAUUUUAAUUCUGUUAAUUCAAAUGAUUUGUUUUCAUUAUUUGAUUUAAUAGUAAAUAAAUAUUUGUAAACGAUGU